GUGCUCACUUCAGCAGCACAUACACUAAAAUUGGAAUGAUAAACAGAAGAUUAGCAUGGCUCCUGUGCAAGGAUGACAUGCAAAUUUGUGAAGUGGUCUGUAUUAAA